rnacentral:lncRNA from 13 species
AUGGGAGUGAAUCUUCACAAACUUUCCACAGCUGACAUUGUUUCUAGGAACUAUGAAUUGAGGAGUGAUGACAAUACAGUUUCCAUCAAGAUUCCUGUUGGUACAGAAGGUGGUCAUUACAAGGCUCAUGUGGGAGACAGGAGUCUCCUGUCUCCAACUUGCUUCUGGAAUAUCAGUAGGAGGACACCAGCUGGGGAGAAACCAGUAUUUCUGGACCCGAGUCUCUCCAGCUAUCUAAAUGUCUGCCAAACUGCAAGCCCAAUGGCUCUGCGGUAGUUACUGCAAUGAAGCUGGAAGGAGUGUCAGGCCUGGAACCGCAGGAAUACACUUUACAGGAUAAACGCUGCUGACCCACAGUUGUUCCUAAAACAAGCGCAAUAUUAGUGUUGUGUGAAUACUUGUAGAAAAAUAAAAAAAUUACUUGCCACA